AUUGAACGCUGGCGGCAGGCUUAACACAUGCAAGUCGAGCGGAGAUGAGGUGCUUGCACCUUAUCUUAGCGGCGGACGGGUGAGUAAUGCUUAGGAAUCUGCCUAUUAGUGGGGGACAACAUUCCGAAAGGAAUGCUAAUACCGCAUACGUCCUACGGGAGAAAGCAGGGGAUCUUCGGACCUUGCGCUAAUAGAUGAGCCUAAGUCGGAUUAGCUAGUUGGUGGGGUAAAGGCCUACCAAGGCGACGAUCUGUAGCGGGUCUGAGAGGAUGAGCCGCCACGCUGGGACUGAGACACGGCCCAGACUCCUACGGGAGGCAGCAGUGGGGAAUAUUGGACAAUGGGGGGAACCCUGAUCCAGCCAUGCCGCGUGUGUGAAGAAGGCCUUAUGGUUGUAAAGCACUUUAAGCGAGGAGGAGGCUACUGAGACUAAUACUCUUGGAUAGUGGACGUUACUCGCAGAAUAAGCACCGGCUAACUCUGUGCCAGCCGCCGCCGUAAUAC
rnacentral:rRNA from 1 species